UAUAAUCGCAACUGCAUACAGCAGAAGAUAACAUCAGCAAGAACAACUACGCCUGAAUGAGCCUCCAUAUGCUGCCAGGCAUCCAAGAACCUCUCCAAUAUUCUCUGCGGAGUGCGGUCAUGUUGGCCAAAGAUCUUACAGCAUGAGAUCAACACAAACAACCAAGAGUGAGAGUGCCGGGAUCAGGACAUCGUCAUGCAGUGAGUGCUGUCGUUCCCCUGGGGUCGUGUCUACCUCUGUAAAGCACUGGGCUGCACCUUGUGCCCUGAUGGUACUUGCCAAUCACCCUUUCACUACUGCGUGCACUUGCAAGUAGGAGACUUGCCAUACGAGAUUUGUGAGGCUAAUGGACAAUUCCGGGAGGCAAGUACAGGACGCGCAGAAAUCAGGAUGGUGGCGGAGGGAAAAGGCAAGAAUCCAACCAAAGCUAUUAAAUACUGGUCUGUUCAGCCAUCAGGGCCUGGAAGAUGUGAAACCUGAAAACUAGCAAUGGCAGAAGUCGCCUCUUUCUGUAUAAUCAGUUGUCUGAGUGUUUCCUCAUUUGCAUUUGGCGAGUUUAUGCUGUUUCCAAAAGGAUAAUAAAUCUUGUUUUUUUGUU